UCCACAUAGGGCAGCUUCAGCCUGAGCUGUGGCACAGUUUUUGUGCCCUGUUUGAGGGCUGUAGAAGUUUGAUUUUUGCUUUUGUCUCCAGCAUGGCAGGAUAUGGUUUGUUUCUUGAUGCUAGCCUCAUCUCCGUCCUCUGAGUGGGUCCGUGCUGGUUUUUCUCUGCGUCUGUCCGUGUUGCAUUGGUGGUGUCAGUAAACACAAGCUGGAAAUGGCAUACAGAUUGCUUUAAUUUGCACCAAGGGCAUCUUUGCCUCUAUGAACAAGAAAGCAUUUUUGAAAACAUCCUUCAUCUACUAAAUUGAGUGCUCCUAGUUUCCAGUUCUACAGUAUGUUGUCAGCAGGAUCAGAGCUGGGCCUACAAGGCACUCUGCUCUGCCCCAGGCUGUGCUGCUGGCAAGUUGCAGGACACGGAGCUGUGCUGGAGAGCCUGAGCUGCCCCAGUGAGCGUACCAAAGG